GCCAGCAUGGGGUAGUGGUUUGCGUGUUGGACUGUGACUCUGGAGACCAGGGUUCAAAUCCCAGCUCGGCCA
rnacentral:tRNA from 1 species